rnacentral:rRNA from 1 species
CUCAGGACGAACGCUGGCGGCGUGCCUAAUACAUGCAAGUCGUACGCUUCUUUUUCCACCGGAGCUUGCUCCACCGGAAAAAGARGAGUGGCGAACGGGUGAGUAACACGUGGGUAACCUGCCCAUCAGAAGGGGAUAACACUUGGAAACAGGUGCUAAUACCGUAUAACAAUCGAAACCGCAUGGUUUUGAUUUGAAAGGCGCUUUCGGGUGUCGCUGAUGGAUGGACCCGCGGUGCAUUAGCUAGUUGGUGAGGUAACGGCUCACCAAGGCCACGAUGCAUAGCCGACCUGAGAGGGUGAUCGGCCACAUUGGGACUGAGACACGGCCCAAACUCCUACGGGAGGCAGCAGUAGGGAAUCUUCGGCAAUGGACGAAAGUCUGACCGAGCAACGCCGCGUGAGUGAAGAAGGUUUUCGGAUCGUAAAACUCUGUUGUUAGAGAAGAACAAGGAUGAGAGUAACUGUUCAUCCCUUGACGGUAUCUAACCAGAAAGCCACGGCUAACUACGUGCCAGCAGCCGCGGUAAUACGUAGGUGGCAAGCGUUGUCCGGAUUUAUUGGGCGUAAAGCGAGCGCAGGCGGUUUCUUAAGUCUGAUGUGAAAGCCCCCGGCUCAACCGGGGAGGGUCAUUGGAAACUGGGAGACUUGAGUGCAGAAGAGGAGAGUGGAAUUCCAUGUGUAGCGGUGAAAUGCGUAGAUAUAUGGAGGAACACCAGUGGCGAAGGCGGCUCUCUGGUCUGUAACUGACGCUGAGGCUCGAAAGCGUGGGGAGCAAACAGGAUUAGAUACCCUG